rnacentral:rRNA from 1 species
UCGGAUUGUAGUCUGNAACCCGACUACAUGAAGCUGGAAUCGCUAGUAAUCGCGAAUCAGAAUGUCGCGGUGAAUACGUUCCCGGGUCUUGUACACACCGCCCGUCACACCAUGGGAGUCGGAAAUGCCCGAAGUCAGUGACCCAACCACAACGUGAACUUCGUCCGCGUGGAGGGAGCUGCCGAAGGUGGAGCCGGUAACUGGGGUGAAGUCGUAACAAGGUAAC